AAAAGGGGAAGAGGCCAGGGAAAAGUAGGGAGGCCUUAGAAAGGAUAAGCCCUGAAGCAGAAAGGAUGUGAGGCAGCUGACAAAAGGUCAAAGAAAGACAGGGGCCAACAGAUAAUAACUCGCAGGUAGACCAGGAGACGGGAAGAUUAACUUGUGAAGAGGGAAGCCAAGGUGACGUUUGCUUGCCAGCCAGAUUGCAGAGCUACAGGCUGCCUUUAGUGCCAUGCUUACCUGGACCAUCGGGACGCAGGGUUAAACCACAGAGCCUAGGACUUGCCGAUCAGAAGGUCGGCGGUUCGAAUCCCCGCGACGGGGUGAGCUCCCGUUGCUCGGUCCCUGUUCCUGCCAACCUAGCAGGUCGAAGUGCAAGUAGAUAAAUAGGUACCGCUCUGGUGGGAAGGUAAACAGUGUUUCCGUGCACUGCUCUGGUUCACCAGAAGCGGCUUAGUCAUGCUGGCCACAUGACCUGGAAGCUAUAUGCUGGCUCCCUCGGCCAGUAAAGCGAGAUGAGCGCCGCAACCCCAGAGUCGGUCAUGACUGGACCUAAUGGUCAGGGGUCCCUUUACCUUUUCCUGGACCAUGGGUCACCAAGUGGCACUGCAGGGGUACAUGUGCUCUCGAAAGCCUUUCCUGGCCCCACAGGGUCCCAUGACCCUGUCUCCACUGAAAGAUGCAGCCAAAAGAAGGCUUUUCCUCAAGUCUAAUUGUGCUCUUUGGUCCCCCCCCCUCUCUGUGUAUGUGUGUGUUACAGCUGUGGAAGGGAGAAUUGUGGUACCCAUGUAAUGCCCACAACCAUUUCUCUGGCUUGUAAAUGUGUCCACGGGCCCCCCAAGGUUGCCAACCCCCCCGCCCAUGCACAGCACUGGUCUGUGGGUAUUCUGGGAUGUUCUGAGAGCACUUCGCCUGCUACUGGAAACAAUAUCUGAGUAGCAGGUGUUUUGAAAGUCUAGCUUAAUUAUCUGUUGUUUUUGUUUAAUUAAUUCUCCUGUCUUGACACUUCGAUCUGACACACAUUACAAAGCUCAAGCAGACAGUUACUAGAUAAAAUCUUUUAACAAGACGACACAGAUGUUAUGCGGUGAUUAGAUUUAUUCAAGGCCUUCCAUGAGAACAUUAUAUUGACACGGUUUCUUGGAAAUCACAAAUACCAAGCUACACCAUAAUAACCUCUCUCCCAUACAGGUACACCCAUUUCAUGUUUAACAGCUCAUCAAGAGAGGUAGGCUUUUAAAGGUAUCUAUCCGUGUAGACAAAAAUACAAUAAAUAGACACUGCAGAGCCCGUAGCAAAGCCUGGUUUUGCAAAGGGAACCGGCAAAACAAUUGCAGCAAACGUUUACAGUAAAAAUUUAUCAUGAGGAAAACUUGUCAGUGUGGUUUAAACUUUUUAAGGCCUACCUGUUCUGACGGUGUCCCUUAAAGCACAGUGAGAGCACAGAGGCUUAUGAAACAGUUAAAGGUCAGAAACACCCUAGUCCCAGAUACACUUCCUCAAGAACAGCUCCUGCGUUUCAGUGCAACUUAGGGCCAACUAAGAAUGCGUACGAUUGCAGUGUUGUACUGCAGAGUGAAACAUAUUAUUUGAAAGUAAAUUCUAAUGAAAUUGAGAAAGUGAAGUCCUACUGAAAUCAACGUGCUUUGGGACUGGAUACCAGUAAUAUGUAUGUCUUCUGGUGGUAUAUUUUAACACCUGCCAACAGGGCAAUCUUAUCCAAGUCUGAUCAGUGGUCAGCCAAACUGAAUUCAAUUGGAAUUAUUCUCAGGGAAAUAUAUAUAGGAUUGCAGCCUUAGGAUGACAGAAUGUAUAAUGUAUAAUAGAAUGUAUAAUGAAUUUUCUCUCUUUGUCAGAGAGCUAACAGGUAUAUACUGCUAAGAAUCGAAGUUCACAGAAGAGCCAUAUACAUUAAUACGCUGCCUAAAAUGUUACUAUUGACAUUCUCUGUGUAAUUGCUUUUGUAGUUCUCUCAGAAAAAACAAAGAUUCACUGAAUGGACACUGGGAUUUCCUUAUUCUGAUUUAUUUUUAGCUGCAUCGUGCUGUAAAGCUAAAGGUCACGAAAAAGAAAUUGUCAAGAAGCAUAAAAUAUUUGUUUUAGGUAGUUUUAGACAGGCUGUGUAUUUUUGUGUGUGUGCUGAAACAACAAAUAAAGUCUCUAUCAAGGCAACCUAAAUUACGUGCUGAUGAAUGUUAAAUUUCCAUGGGUUAGGCUAGGCUAUGGUUGUGGUGUCCAGAAGGAAGGAAGGCUGGUCCCCAGGCUGUACCAUAAAACAGCUAAGUAGGAGAGGGAUUUGGGUAUGUGCAACUUGUGAUGCAGCCAUGUGAAAAAGACUGGCAAAAUUGCAUUUUACAUUAAACGAUUAAAUAACUGCAGCUUCUUUUUAUUUUCAUCUUGUGAGUCUUGGUGC